rnacentral:hammerhead_ribozyme from 1 species
CACUACUGAAGAGUCCCAUACUAGGACGAAACGGCCGUCCAACGC